AGUAAUCGCGAAUCAGCAUGUCGCGGUGAAUACGUUCCCGGUCUUGUACACACCGCCGUCACACCAUGGGAGUUGGUAACGCCCGAAGUCAGUGACCCAACCUGAUAGGAGGGAGCUGCCGAAGGCGGGACCGAUAACUGGGGUGAAGUCGUAACAAGGUAAC
rnacentral:rRNA from 1 species